rnacentral:rRNA from 1 species
AACGAACGCUGGCGGCAUGCCUAACACAUGCAAGUCGAACGAGACCUUCGGGCCUAGUGGCGCACGGGUGCGUAACGCGUGGGAACCUGCCCUUAGGUUCGGAAUAACUCCCCGAAAGGGGUGCUAAUACCGGAUAAUGUCUUCGGACCAAAGAUUUAUCGCCUUUGGAUGGGCCCGCGUUGGAUUAGCUAGUUGGUAGGGUAAAAGCCUACCAAGGCGACGAUCCAUAGCUGGUCUGAGAGGAUGAUCAGCCACACUGGGACUGAGACACGGCCCAGACUCCUACGGGAGGCAGCAGUGGGGAAUAUUGGACAAUGGGCGAAGGCCUGAUCCAGCAAUGCCGCGUGAGUGAUGAAGGCCUUAGGGUUGUAAAGCUCUUUUACCCGGGAUGAUAAUGACAGUACCGGGAGAAUAAGCUCCGGCUAACUCCGUG